rnacentral:rRNA from 1 species
GUGGGGAAUCUUCCGCAAUGGACGAAAGUCUGACGGAGCAACGCCGCGUGAGUGAUGAAGGUCUUCGGAUUGUAAAGCUCUGUUAAUCGGGACGAAAGAGCCUAGUGUGAAUAAUGCUAGGAAGUGACGGUACCGGAAUAGAAAGCCACGGCUAACUACGUGCCAGCAGCCGCGGUAAUACGUAGGUGGCAAGCGUUGUCCGGAAUUAUUGGGCGUAAAGCGCGCGCAGGCGGAUCUGCCAGUCUGUCUUAAAAGUUCGGGGCUUAACCCCGUGAUGGGAUGGAAACUACAGAUCUAGAGUAUCGGAGAGGAAAGUGGAAUUCCUAGUGUAGCGGUGAAAUGCGUAGAUAUUAGGAAGAACACCAGUGGCGAAGGCGACUUUCUAGACGAAAACUGACGCUGAGGCGCGAAAGCCAGGGGAGCGAACGGGAUUAGAAACCCGUGUAGUCC